UGGGGAUUAGUGGCGAACGGGUGAGUAACACGUGGGCAAUCUGCCCUUCACUCUGGGACAAGCCCUGGAAACGGGGUCUAAUACCGGAUACCACUACCGCAGGCAUCUGUGGUGGUUGAAAGCUCCGGCGGUGAAGGAUGAGCCCGCGGCCUAUCAGCUUGUUGGUGAGGUAAUGGCUCACCAAGGCGACGACGGGUAGCCGGCCUGAGAGGGCGACCGGCCACACUGGGACUGAGACACGGCCCAGACUCCUACGGGAGGCAGCAGUGGGGAAUAUUGCACAAUGGGCGAAAGCCUGAUGCAGCGACGCCGCGUGAGGGAUGACGGCCUUCGGGUUGUAAACCUCUUUCAGCAGGGAAGAAGCGAAAGUGACGGUACCUGCAGAAGAAGCGCCGGCUAACUACGUGCCAGCAGCCGCGGUAAUACGUAGGGCGCAAGCGUUGUCCGGAAUUAUUGGGCGUAAAGAGCUCGUAGGCGGCUUGUCACGUCGGGUGUGAAAGCCCGGGGCUUAACCCCGGGUCUGCAUUCGAUACGGGCUAGCUAGAGUGUGGUAGGGGAGAUCGGAAUUCCUGGGUGUAGCGGUGAAAUGCGCAGAUAUCAGGAGGAACACCGGUGGCGAAGGCGGAUCUCUGGGCCAU
rnacentral:rRNA from 1 species